rnacentral:rRNA from 1 species
GAUCAUGGCUCAGGAUGAACGCUGGCGGCGUGCUUAACACAUGCAAGUCGAACGAGAAAUGAUAUUACGAUCUCUUCGGAGUGACGAUUUUAUUUCGAGUGGCGGACGGGUGAGUAACGCGUGAGCAACCUGCCCUAUACCGGGGGAUACCAGUUGGAAACGACUGUUAAUACCGCAUAAGCGCACGAUAAGACAUCUUGUUGUGUGAAAAACUCCGGUGGUAUAGGAUGGGCUCGCGU